GACGUAGGGGGCGAGCGUUGUCCGGAUUUAUUGGGCGUAAAGAGCUCGUAGGCGGCUCGUUGCGUCGGCUGUGAAAACCCGCAGCUCAACUGUGGGCUUGCAGCCGAUACGGGCGGGCUGGAGUUCGGUAGGGGAGACUGGAAUUCCUGGUGUAGCGGUGAAAUGCGCAGAUAUCAGGAGGAACACCGGUGGCGAAGGCGGGUCUCUGGGCAGUAACUGACGCUGAGGAGCGAAAGCGUGGGGAGCGAACAGG
rnacentral:rRNA from 1 species